rnacentral:lncRNA from 1 species
UUCAGGAGCCAAGGCACUUGCCCCUCCAUUGCUAUGAAGACAGAAGUGUAUUCAGCUGAGUCCUAUGAAUAGUGUCAAUCAUCAGACCUAGUCUCAGUCCAUCAGAACCAGGUUGGCUCUUUUAUAGAUAAUUGAGGCAUGCAAGAGCUCAUUCUUUAUCUGUACAUUCACUGGUUGUAUUGUAUGAGCACCUCAUGUCGUAUUAAUACCCCGUGUCGC